UAAAGGGUACCUAGACGGUAAAAUUACUCCUCCACUGUAUACGGUUUACUAGAGUUAUAUAUGAGGAGGUGAGUAUUUAAGGAGUAGAGUUGAAAUUCAGUCAUACCUUAAGGACUGGUAAUGGCGAAAGCAACCUUUUAUCUAAUAACUGACGUUGAGGGACGAAGGCUCGGGUAGCGAACAGGAUUAGAUACCCCUGGUAGUCCCAGGCAGAAAAUUAUGAAUGCCAUAGAUUAGAAUAUUUUUAGUUUAUAAAUGAAAGUGCAAGCAUUCC
rnacentral:ncRNA from 1 species